rfam:Oryza nivara chromosome 7, whole genome shotgun sequence.
AAUAAGUGUAGUUGUGGGUUUCAGUGCCCAACGUUUGACUAUCCGCCUUAUUUGAAAUAUUUUUAUGUUUAGUAUUUUUAUUGUUAUUAGAUAUUAAAAUAUAAAUAGUAUUUUAUGCGAGACUUAAUUUUUAUAAAGUUUUCAUAAUUUUUUUAAUAAAACGGACAGUCAAACGUUGGAAACGGAAACUCUACGCUUAUA